rnacentral:lncRNA from 1 species
GGCAGGCUGGUCUCACUGCUUUUCUGCCGUCCUGCAGCCAAGCCUCGUUGGAGCCCACGGUCCGCAGGGGGCUUGGUGCGGUGGACCCAGUGACAGCCGUGGCCCUGGUGAGCUGGGGGGGCAGCUCUCCCCCAAAUGGUCACCUCUCUUUCCCAAUGGUGGAUUUGUUUCCAUCCCUUGACCUGGAGCUUCUCUGCCCAUCCAGGUCCCUGAACUCCGCUGGUGCGGCCCGGCCUCCUGUGGCUGAGGAGGGACUGCUGAGGAAGGAAGCCCCUCCUGUCCGAUCCUCCCUCACUCCUUUGGACCCCACGUUGCAGCCAACGGUGUUCUUAGCAUCUUGGCAAAGGCAAAGGAUCAGGCUGGGACCGGGUGGCUCAGUCUGCACAUUCCAGCUCCUCUACCCCCAGACCGCCUGGAAACAGGAGCUGAGCCUCCGCCCCACGGUGUCUGCUUUUCCCGGCCUAUCAGGGAAGGACCAUGUACCCGGUGAGUAGGGCAUUUCUUUUAUUUAUUUGUUCUAGAUUUAUUUAUUUGAUAGAGCGAGAGCAGGAGCAGGAGGAAGGGCAGAGGGAGAGGGAGAAGCAGACUCCCUGCCGAGUGGAGAGCCUGAUGUGGGGCUUGAUCCCACAACCCUGAGAUCAUGACCUGAGCUGAAAUCAGGAGUCAGAGGCUUAACUGACUGUGCCCACCCCCAGUUGCCCUAUGGCAUUUCUUUAUACUCCACUCUGCUUUACUGGGCGGGUUUAGGGAUGCUUCUAAGAAUGCAUCCAGUAAAAACAACGUGAAC